GCUUGGAUAGCUCAGUCAGUACAGAAUGAGACGCUUAAUCUCAGGAUUGUGGGUUUGAGCUCCACAUUGAGCA